rnacentral:rRNA from 1 species
CACGUAGGGGGGCGAGCGUUUGUCCGGAAUUAUUGGGCGUAAAGAGCUCGUAGGCGGUCUGUCGCGUCGAUCGUGAAAACUUGGGGCUUAACCCUGAGCUUGCGGUCGAUACGGGCAUGACUGGAGUUCGGCAGGGGAGACUGGAAUUCCUGGUGUAGCGGUGAAAUGCGCAGAUAUCAGGAGGAACACCGGUGGCGAAGGCGGGUCUCUGGGCCGAUACUGACGCUGAGGAGCGAAAGCGUGGGGAGCGAACAGG